rnacentral:rRNA from 1 species
AUAACGACUAUCGGCAACGGAUAUCUCGGCUCUCGCAUCGAUGAAGAACGUAGCGAAAUGCGAUACUUGGUGUGAAUUGCAGAAUCCCGUGAACCAUCGAGUCUUUGAACGCAAGUUGCGCCCGAAGCCUUAGGGUAGAGGGCACGUUUGCCUGGGUGUCACA